CCUACGGGAGGCAGCAGUGAGGAAUAUUGGUCAAUGGUCGGAAGGCUGAACCAGCCAAGUCGCGUGAAGGAAGAAGGAACUAUGGUUUGUAAACUUCUUUUAUAGGGGAAUAAAGGUAUCCACGUGUGGCUAUUUGCAUGUACCUUAUGAAUAAGCAUCGGCUAACUCCGUGCCAGCAGCCGCGGUAAUACGGAGGAUGCGAGCGUUAUCCGGAUUUAUUGGGUUUAAAGGGUGCGUAGGUUGUUUUUUAAGUCAGCGGUGAAAGUUUGGGGCUCAACCAUAAAAUUGCCGUUGAAACUGGAAGUCUUGAGUGUGUGUGAGGUAGGCGGAAUGCGUGGUGUAGCGGUGAAAUGCAUAGAUAUCACGCAGAACUCCGAUUGCGAAGGCAGCAUACUAAGCCAUCACUGACACUGAGGCACGAAAGCGUGGGGAUCGAACAGGAUUAGAUACCCUUGUAGUC
rnacentral:rRNA from 1 species